rnacentral:lncRNA from 1 species
ACAUCACGUGCCUCUGUUGCAUACAUUUCAAUGAUGUGAGAGGUUUCUAAAGCAUCUCUGCUAUCAUGAAAUUUAGAAAAGUAUUUUUCCUUUUGUUUUUUAGGAAAGUCGCAUUCCCAUAGUUCCAGGGUCUAUGGCUUUACAAAAAUCAUCAAAUAUUUUGGAUUCAGAGAAAAAAAUCAAUCACGUGGGGAUUUGGAGACUGCAUCUAAUUGGUUUCAAACCCCCGGAGGAACUCAAUCCCUCCCAGUCACCCGGAAAAUGCAAGGAAAAUCAACAAAAUUAUGCAGCCUUUAGCAGCUCAAGUAACUGCUCUCGUAAGUGUAAGCAGGUAGGUCUUUGUCAGUAUAUUUGCUCUUCAGAGAUAAAAUAAUCCAGCCAGCUGCAUUAAUUAAAAAAUAAAGAACCUAAAAUACUUUGGGGCUCA